rnacentral:misc_RNA from 1 species
GAUGAAGAACGUAGCGAAAUGCGAUACGUAAUGUGAAUUGCAGAAUUCAGUGAAUCAUCGAGUCUUUGAACGCACAUUGCGCCCCCUGGUAUUCCGGGGGGCAUGCCUGUCCGAGCGUCAUUGCUGCCCUCAAGCACGGCUUGUGUGUUGGGCCUCCGUCCUCCUCCCGGGGGACGGGCCCGAAAGGCAGCGGCGGCACCGCGUCCGGUCCUCGAGCGUAUGGGGCUUCGUCACCCGCUCUUGUAGGCCCGGCCGGCGCUUGCCGACACAUCAAUCUUUUUUCCAGGUUGACCUCGGAUCAGGUAGGGAUACCCGCUGAACUUAAGCAUAUCAAUAAGCGGGA